AACGAACGCUGGCGGCAGGCUUAACACAUGCAAGUCGAACGGGCAUAGCAAUAUGUCAGUGGCAGACGGGUGAGUAACACGUGGGAACCUUCCUAGAGGUACGGAACAACGCAGGGAAACUUGUGCUAAUACCGUAUACGCUCGAGAGAGGAAAGAUUAUCGCCUUUAGACGGGCCCGCGUAGGAUUAGGUAGUUGGUGAGGUAACGGCUCACCAAGCCUACGAUCCUUAGCUGAUCUGAGAGGAUGAUCAGCCACACUGGGACUGAGACACGGCCCAGACUCCUACGGGAGGCAGCAGUGGGGAAUCUUGGACAAUGGGCGCAAGCCUGAUCCAGCCAUGCCGCGUGAGUGAAGAAGGCCUUCGGGUUGUAAAGCUCUUUUACCAGGGACGAUAAUGACGGUACCUGGAAAAUAAGCCCCGGCUAACUUCGUGCCAGCCGCCGCGGUAA
rnacentral:rRNA from 1 species